UGAGUAACCUGCCCUUAACUCUGGGAUAAGCCUGGGAAACUGGGUCUAAUACCGGAUAUGACUCCUCAUCGCAUGGUGGGGGGUGGAAAGCUUUUUGUGGUUUUGGAUGGACUCGCGGCCUAUCAGCUUGUUGGUGAGGUAAUGGCUUACCAAGGCGACGACGGGUAGCCGGCCUGAGAGGGUGACCGGCCACACUGGGACUGAGACACGGCCCAGACUCCUACGGGAGGCAGCAGUGGGGAAUAUUGCACAAUGGGCGCAAGCCUGAUGCAGCGACGCCGCGUGAGGGAUGACGGCCUUCGGGUUGUAAACCUCUUUCAGUAGGGAAGAAGCGAAAGUGACGGUACCUGCAGAAGAAGCGCCGGCUAACUACGUGCCAGCAGCCGCGGUAAUACGUAGGGCGCAAGCGUUAUCCGGAAUUAUUGGGCGUAAAGAGCUCGUAGGCGGUUUGUCGCGUCUGCCGUGAAAGUCCGGGGCUCAACUCCGGAUCUGCGGUGGGUACGGGCAGACUAGAGUGAUGUAGGGGAGACUGGAAUUCCUGGUGUAGCGGUGAAAUGCGCAGAUAUCAGGAGGAACACCGAUGGCGAAGGCAGGUCUCUGGGCAUUAACUGACGCUGAGGAGCGAAAGCAUGGGGAGCGAACAGGAUUAGAUACCCUGGUAGUCCAUGCCGUAAACGUUGGGCACUAGGUGUGGGGGACAUUCCACGUUUUCCGCGCCGUAGCUAACGCAUUAAGUGCCCCGC
rnacentral:rRNA from 1 species